rnacentral:tRNA from 1 species
GGAUGAGUGGCCGAGUGGUUUAAGGCAGCAGUCUUGAAAACUGCCGUACUCGCAAGGGUACCGUGAGUUCGAAUCUCACCUCAUCCGCCA